UUGAUGAUUUUUUUACUGAAGACCCUAUAACCCAUAAUUUUGUUAAGUUAGAAAGUGACAGCCAACUAUAUAACUUUGUUAAAGAUUUGUGGAGUGGGUCAUCUAUUAAGUUGUUUUUGAAGCAUGUGACUGAUAAAGAAGGAGGGUCCACUACUUUGUGACCAUUUUCUAUUGAAAAAAAUAAUCAAGAUUGGGAAAUUGCUCUAGGGUUUCAAACGGUGUAGGUGAAGUUGAAAAACCAUUAGAAGAAGGAAAUGGUGAUUCUCUUGACUUUGAAAAGGAUGACUUAGAUGAUGUUCCAGAUCAGGAUGAUAGUGAAAUUGAUGAAGAACUGAGAGCUUUUAGAGAAAACUUAGGGAAGACAAAAAGAAUGAAGCUGCAAAGAAAAAAAAGAGAACUAAAAAAACCCUCAAAGGAUCAAGGUGUUGAGCUUGGAGAAGUUGGCAUAGAUAAGGGAUUUGAAAAUAUCUUCAACAAUAAGGCAGCCAAAUAUAAUGGAAAAUUGGGAGGUGAUGAAGUGUUUAUUGAUUCAUCAGAUGAACCAAGUGAAGAUAGUGAUGAGGAGCUAGAUGUUUUAGCACAACCGGGUGUUGAUUUACCUUCAAGAAGAAAAAGCAACAAACUAAGGUAUGAUUCUUCUUCUUCCAUUUCUUUCAUUGAAUUGGGUAUGAUAUUUGAGAGUGCAACUCAAUUUAGAAAGGUUGUUGCUGAUUAUGCUGUUCAACAUAAGGUUCAGUUAAGGCUUAAACCGAAUGAGCCUCAUAAAGUUACGGUAAAAUGUGAAGGGAAAUGUAAAUGCGAAAUCUUUGCAAGUUUGGAUAAAGAUUCUAGAAUUUUUUUAAAAGAAAUACUAUCCUGCUCAUAGAUGUAUUUCAAAGAAUAGGAAAAGGUUGUGCAAAGCCAAAUAUGUGGAAAUGAAGAUGCGGGAUAGAAUAAUAUCUCAGCCUGACAUGAAAGUUCAUAAGCUUCAAGAGACACUAAGAAAAGAAUGUGGAUUAAAAGUCGGAAGAUCAAUAUGUUACAGGGCAAAAAUGAAUGUUAUUGCCAAGUCCUUGGGUGAUUGAAAACUUGAGUUUUCAAGGUUGCUAGACUAUGUUGAUAUGAACAAAUCCUGGGAAUUCUUGUUGGGUUAGAACUGAUAAUGAAACAGUCCCUGGCUUACGUUUGUUUAAAUAUUUUUAUGUCUGUUUUGCUGCAUUGAAAAAUGGAUGGCUAGAAGGUUGUUGGAAAGAUUAUAGGAUUGGAUGGAUGCUUUUUGAAGGGUGCUUGUAGAGGAGAAUUAUUAGUGGCUGUUAGAAAAAAUGGAAACAAUCAAAUAUAUCCAAUAGCUUGGGCAGUGGUUGAUCAAGAAACUAAAAACUAUUGGAGUUGGUUCUUAAGCUAUCUCAUUGAAGACUUGCAACUUGGUGAUGGAAGUGGCAUAGCAAUCAUGUCUGACAUGCAAAAGGGUCUUGAGAUGGCAGUGGAAGUCUUACUUCCUAAUGCUGAAAGAAGAAUGUGUGCAAGACAUAUUUGGACAAACGGGCAAAAAAGAUGGAGAGGUGAGGAAAGGAGAAAAGCAUUUUGGAGGUGCCCCAAAGCUAGUUUUGAGGUUAAAUUAAGAGAUGAAUUUGAAUAUAUGGGGAAAUUUGGUCAUAAAAUAUAUGAGGCAUUGCUUGGAUAUAACAAAGAAUAUUGGUGUAGAGCUUUAUUUAGUGAAAGAUCAAAGUGUGAUGUGGUGAAAAAUAAUAUGUCUGAAACAUUUAACUCAUGGAUUGUUGAUCCUAGACACAAAUCUGUGAUUAGUAUGCUUGAAGAUAUUAGGCAUAAAAUGAUGGAUAGGCAUGGAGAUAUGAUUAAGUUUGCAGAUACUUGGAUCAGUGACAUUUCACCUAUGGCAAGACUGAUUUUAGAAGAAAACAAAGAGAUUGGCACGGCACUAAGGGUGAAUUGGAAUCAUGACAUUGGAUUUGAAAUCCAAGAAGGAGAGUAUAGACACAUAAUUGACAUGACUAGAAAGACAUGUAGCUGUAGGUUGUGGCAGUUGAGGGGCAUACCUUGCCAACAUGCAGUUUGUGCCUUAUAUCAUAUUGGGCAAGAACAAGAAGAUUAUGUGGAACAUUGGUACAAAAAAGAUACAUUGUAAUGUGCCUGACACCAAUAACCCACCUGUUGAGCCUCCUAAAGUGAAGCCAAUGCCUGGAAGACCAGGUAGAUGUAGAAGAAAAGAUAAAGAUGAACCAAGAAAAAAGAAAUGGGGGAAAACAUCAAAGAAUGGAGUGCAGAUGUCAUGUUCCAAAUGCCAUCAAGUUAGGCAUAACAAAAGAACUUGUAAAUCAGUGCCCUCUGAACAACCCACACAAUAGACUGCAAGGCCCUUUCAACAGCCACCAGUGAGGCAGCCUUCACAACCACCAGUGAGGCAACCUUCACGACCACCAGUGAGGCAGCCUAGCAUUGGAAAUGCCUCUUCUUUAUGUGUAGAUACUUCAAAGGUUAAAGGAAGGAAAAAGAAGCAGUCAACUGCAAGGGCAACUUCUUCUUCAACUGCAUGGACAUCAUCUUCUUCAGUUGGAAUGCCACCACCUUCUUCAGUUGGAAGGCCACCAACUUCUUUAGUUGGAAUGCAACCAGCUGCUUCAAUUGGAAGAAAAAGAAAAAGAGAUGUGGAAUUUGGUGUUUACACAGACAUACAAUCUGAAAGACAAGUGAUUAACGAAGAUCAAGUGAAAGAGUUAUCUCAAGUGGAACAGGGGUAGCAUUUAAAGAUGCAUCACAAACAAAUGUUGAUCUUGGAUUCAAGCCACCUAGUUUAAAAUGGAAAGGAAAAGAUGCAAUGACUGGAAAUCAACUUCAACAAUUGUCAAAGAAAAAGGUGCAAAGCAAAUCCAAGGGGAAGUGGGUUCCAUAAGAGCUCAAAGUCUUACUGAUGUGUAUAAAUGUUGAUCUAGGAGGUCUUUGUUUUUGUUUAUUUUGAUAACUGUUUGUAAAGGCAUACUCCAAUUACUGAUCAUUUUGAUGUAUUUUGGGUUA